CUUCAGCACAACCAGAGGAACCAUAUCUCCUGCAUUGUUGACAUCGGUUGAAACCAUGGGCCACAUUUUCCUCAUCGUGAUGUUGCUGUUGUCAGGUAUGUGUGGCUAUGGAGGCUGUGCAGAGGGGAAGCCUAGGGAUGGAGGUGUCAGACCUGGCUGGAACAAUCCUGGGCAUGCAGUGACAAAGCAUAGUCACGCUGGCAAGAAAGCGGGACCCUUUUGUUCGCUUUGUACACUUCUUGUGAGGAGAUUUCAGAAAGUUUGUAACGUUAGCAAGGAACAAGUUGCAGAAAAGCUGGAAGAGAUUUGUAGCAAAUUGUUAUUUGGCAAAGAAAGGUGCAGGAAGUUUGUUGGAGAAAACAAAGACAAAUUGUUGGAUGGUCUUACCAAUCCCAAAUCACCCUGCACUUUCCUGAAGUUUUGCUAAACGCAACAGCCCCUAUGAGGACCUCUGGCCCGGAAGUGAGCCGUUGGUGAUGAGACUGCUGUAGGACUGACUUCUGCUUCUUGCUAUUUGAUUACUAUUGCUUUUGUACUCAUCUUACCUUGACCCUUGUUCUCUACUCUCUACACCCCCACCACCCCACCAAGAUGAAAAUGGAGUGGCAAAAACACCCCAAUAAUGACGCUGAUGUUGAUUGUUUUUUAUCUGCCUACACACACUUCAGUCAAUAAAAACAUUCUCAAAAUUUGAGAGUGUGGGUGCCCAUGAAGUUAAUUAUGAAGGUCCAUCCCUAGGUCAAUGCCUAAUGCCUACUACGUUCUGUAAAAGAAACUUGUAAUGGCAUUGUUCCAGCAGAUGGCAGGAUUACCUAAGUGAUCUGCCUCUGGGCUGAUCUCUCCGUAGCAUUGUUCAUAGCAGUGCUUUUUCAUUCAAUUAAAUACUUUGAUUCAGAUCUUUGUCUUCCAAAUGAACAUUCUCUUCCUGUCUAAAUGUGUUCAGAGAGUGCACCUCUGCCAUCUGGCGGACAGAAACACACACGCACCUCAAAUGUACAAACAAAAAAAAUAAACGUGGGCCUACAGUGCACACAAAUCAUAACCAUCUUGAUGCAAGUAAAUUUUAAAGUUUUUUUUGUCUUUUUGACUUUAUUUAUGAUAGGACAAUGAAGGUGUCGCGAGUGAGAGAAACAGGGAAGGGACGGCAAAGGACUGGGAUUCGAACCUGGGUCAGCCGCAUGGUAGACGAGUGCCCUACCGGUUGGCCACAGCAGGGCCUGACAGAAGAAAAUUUGGGCAGUCGAUUUGACUUUGAGAAAAAGUAAAAAAAAAACAAAAAAAAAGAAACCAGAGUGCCACACUCUCCUGCUCUUUUUUAUUUAAACAUGUAAUAGCUAUGG